AUGUCAUCUUGCACCCCCCGUGAGAAUAUCACGACAUUUGGCGCCCACCGUGGGGCGAUACUAUGCUACCGCAAUGCGACUGGUUUUGCAGUCUGGGCGGGACCAUCUUCGUCAUCUCCGCCACGGCGUCACGCCGUCUCUUCGGUAGCGCUUGGGGGCUCGACUUCGACCCGCCCUCGGAGCGGCCGUGCGGGAUGGCGCGCCCUCGCCGUCGGCUUCGCCAUCUUCGUCAUCACCAACGCAGCGCCGGCCGUCCAUCCGUGCGCGUGUGCGGUGCCUCGUUUCGGUCGGCCAUGUCCAUCCACGCGCCGCUCGCGUCUGCUCCCCUUCGCGUUGUGCCUUGCUCCGGCCGAAAUGCACUUUUGCUCCAUAUUUCGUUUAUCCAAGCUAGCUAGAUGCAAGUCAUACAUGGUCAAAGCAUAG
rnacentral:rRNA from 1 species